CUGGCAACCAUUAAUAUGCUUUCUGUCUCUUGCUGAUUUGCAUCGGGAUACUAGAUGCUUAUGAGAUAUAUGAUUUGCAAAUAUUUUCUCCCAUUCUGUGAGCUGUCCUUUUACUUUCUUUUAGUCUCCAUUAAUGCACAAAAAUUGUAAAAUUUGAUGAAAUUCAAUUAGUCUAUUUUUUAUUUGUUACCUGUGCUUUUGGUUUUUGAAAUGAAACCAUUGCCUCAUCCAGGUCUGUGAUGGUUAAUAUUGAGUGUCAACUUGAUUGGAUUGAAGAAUGCAAAGUAUUGUUCCUGGGUGUGUCUGUGAGGGUGUUGCCAAAGGAGAUUAACAUUUGAGUCAGUGGACUGGGAGAGGCAGACCCACCCUCAAUUUGGGUGGGCACCAUCUAAUCAGCUGCCUUCGAGACUAGAAUAAAGCAGGCAGGAGAAGAUGGAAGAGCAGACGUGCUGGGUCUUCUGGACUUCAUCUUUCUCCCGUGCUGGAUGCUUCCUGCCCUCGAACAUUGGACCUUAAGUUAUUUGGCUUUUGGACUCUUGGACUUACACCAGUGGUUUUCCAGGAGGUCUCAGGCCUUUGGCCACAGACUGAAGGCUGCACUGUUGACUUCCCUACUUUUGAGGUUUUGGGACUCAGACUGAUCCAACACUGGCUUCCUUGCUCCUCAACUUGCAGACGGCCUAUCGUGGGACUUUACCUUGUGAUUGAAAUCUGCAAGCCACCAGUACUGCCUUACAAAAAAAGGUGCUUCCCCUUCCUCCAACCCCAUAUGCAAAUCCCAACAUACCAGAUGUGAAAGCAAGAAGGAAUGGAAAGAGAAGUCUACUCACAGGUCCCAUUCUGAGGCCUCCAGCCAAGGGGACGCCAUGGUGAAAACACUGCAGAGAGACCAUUAUGUGAGUUGCCACUGUCAUGUUGCUGUGUCUCAAUGAGCAAAUAGAAGUAGCCCUGCCUCAGAGGCCACAUUCUUCACAAGGGUCAAGAUUCACACUUGCCAUCCCAAAGCUUCCCACUAGGUGUGCUGUGGCAUGCAGACAGCCUUGGCUGGUUGCAGGCAUACCGCGUAAGCUGAAGUCUGGGUCAGCUGAAACCUCUGGCUUGAAGAGCCUCAUCUCUUUAUCCCAAUGGGUUGUAACAUUUUUUCUCUAAAAUCUAUGGUGUGAAGAAAGUAUAACAAGCAUUGCAACAGGGGUAAAGCAGGAAUAAUAAUUAUUUAAGCAUCUGCUCCAGAGCAGGUUUUCCAUAUUCCAGUCACAUGAGUUAUCUCUUUUGAUCUUCCUAAUAACCCUGGGAGGGAGAGACUAGUUCUUCUCCUUGCAAUAAGGAUGUUAGGCUCAGAGAAGUGAAGUAACAUGCCCAUGGUCAUGAAGCUGGAGAGAGUUGGAGCUGAGAUUCAAUCCCAGGUCUUCUCACUCAAUAUUAUUAAUGCCAUGAGAUUGCCCACAACAGCAUCAGCUGGAGGCUCACAGCCAGGCUCCUGGGGUUGCCUCCUGCUGAGGCUGAACAAUAGCUCAGAUAGAUCUGAAGAGCGGAGGUCAGAGUCAGCCGGCAAUCAGCACCACUGUAGGCACAUAAACAACAACUACAGCAAGAAGUGACAUUAAUACUUGUAAUUCCAAGCAAAUAUCCAAAGAGGCUGAUAAGGCAUAAGUGAAAGAACUUGAAGGUAAGAAAUGUCCACAGCUCAUACCCAUUAGGAACCCCCUUUGUCUUGUGCCUGAGAUUUUCUGUGGUUUACAUGGGGCAGAAGCCAGGUUGAGAAGAGGGGAUGAGAGUUCCCAAGAGGACUUUCUUGUAGGACUUGCAGGACCAGGUAAUAGUGGUUCCUGCAAAAAAUUUGCAGCAGUUUCUGGUUAGCAAACCUGACAUGCUACAUGAAGGGAACAUGAGGAUAACAAAUUAAGCCAUCUCAUGAAGACCCUCA
rnacentral:lncRNA from 10 species